ensembl:snRNA U6 U6 spliceosomal RNA
GUGCUCGCCUGGGCAGCACAUACGCUGAAACUGGCACACGAGCGAGAAGAUUAGCCCGGCUCCUGUGCAAGGAUGGCAUGCACGCAAAUUCGUGAAGCUUUGCAGAUUUUU